rnacentral:rRNA from 1 species
UGAAUUGACGGGGGCCCGCACAAGCAGCGGAGCAUGUGGCUUAAUUCGACGCAACGCGAAGAACCUUACCAAGGCUUGAAAUGCAAGUGAAGCGGUGGAAACGCCGUGGCCGAAAGGAGCUUGCACAGGUGGUGCAUGGCUGUCGUCAGCUCGUGUCGUGAGAUGUUGGGUUAAGUCCCGCAACGAGCGCAACCCCGCCGUUAGUUGCCAGCGGUUCGGCCGGGCACUCUAACGGGACUGCCCGCGAAAAGCGGGAGGAAGGAGGGGACGACGUCUGGUCAGCAUGGCCCUUACGGCCUGGGCGACACACGUGCUACAAUGCCCACUACAAAGCGAGGCCACCCGGCAACGGGGAGCUAAUCGCAAAAAGGUGGGCCCAGUUCGGAUUGGGGUCUGCAACCCGACCCCAUGAAGCCGGAAUCGCUAGUAAUCGCGGAUCAGCCAUGCCGCGGUGAAUACGUUCCCGGGCCUU